AUCAUGCCUUCCGUCUCGCCCCCCGCCUCUUUUUGCAAGGGAGAGAGAAAAAGGGCGCGCGCUUCUCAUUUCCGACCUCAGAUCGGACGAGAUUACCCGCUGAAUUUAAGCAUAUCACUAAGCGGAGGAAAAGAAACU
rnacentral:rRNA from 1 species